rnacentral:misc_RNA from 1 species
GAUGAAGAACGUAGCGAAAUGCGAUAAGUAGUGUGAAUUGCAGAAUUCAGUGAAUCAUCGAAUCUUUGAACGCACAUUGCGCCCAUUGGUAUUCCUUAGGGCAUGCCUGUUCGAGCGUCAUUUAAACCUUCAAGCUAAGCUUGGUGUUGGGUGACUGUCCGCUUCACGGCGGACUCGCCUCAAAAUUAUUGGCGGCCGGUACAUUGGCUUCGAGCGCAGCAGAAACGCGAACUCGGGCCCGUCGUAUUGGCUCCCAGAAGCUAUCUUCACAAUUUUGACCUCGGAUCAGGUAGGGAUACCCGCUGAACUUAAGCAUAUCAAUAAGCGGAGGA